ACGACGCAACGCCGCGUGGAGGAUGAAGACUUUCGGGUCGUAAACUCCUUUCGACCGAGAUGAAUUUCCCACGACCUACACGUCGUGGGAGUGACAGUAUCGAGGGAAGAAGCCCCGGCUAACUCCGUGCCAGCAGCCGCGGUAAUACGGGGGGGGCAAGCGUUGUUCGGAAUUACUGGGCGUAAAGGGUUUGUAGGUGGCUUGUUAAGUCAGACGUGAAAUCCCUCAGCUUAACUGGGGAACUGCGUCUGAUACUGGCGAGCUUGAGUGCAGGAGAGGAACGCGGAAUUCCAGGUGUAGCGGUGAAAUGCGUAGAUAUCUGGAGGAACACCGGUGGCGAAGGCGGCGUUCUGGACUGCAACUGACACUGAUAAACGAAAGCCAGGGUAGCAAACGGGAUUAGAUACCCCGGUAGUCCUGGCCCUAAACGAUGAAUGCUUGGUGUGGCGGGUAUCGAUCCCUGCCGUGCCGAAGUUAACGCGAUAAGCAUUCCGCCUGGGGAGUACGGCCGCAAGGCUG
rnacentral:rRNA from 1 species